UACGGAGGGGGCUAGCGUUGUUCGGAAUUACUGGGCGUAAAGCGCGCGUAGGCGGACCUGCAAGUCGGGGGUGAAAUCCUGGAGCUCAACUCCAGAACUGCCUUCGAUACUGGGAAACUUGAGUUCGGGAGAGGUGAGUGGAACUGCGAGUGUAGAGGUGAAAUUCGUAGAUAUUCGCAAGAACACCAGUGGCGAAGGCGGCUCACUGGCCCGAUACUGACGCUGAGGUGCGAAAGCGUGGGGAGCAAACAGG
rnacentral:rRNA from 1 species